rnacentral:rRNA from 1 species
UACGUAGGGGGCAAGCGUUGUCCGGAAUCAUUGGGCGUAAAGCGCGUGUAGGCGGCCCGGUAAGUCCGCUGUGAAAGUCGGGGGCUCAACCCUCGAAUGCCGGUGGAUACUGUCGGGCUAGAGUGCGGGAGAGGCGAGUGGAAUUCCUGGUGUAACGGUGAAAUGCGCAGAUAUCGGGAGGAACACCAGUAGCGAAGGCGGCUCGCUGGGCCAUUCCUGACGCUGAGACGCGAAAGCUAGGGGAGCGAACAGG